rnacentral:tRNA from 1 species
GUUUUUGUGGCGUAGCGGCAACGCGCCUGUCUAGUGAGUAGGAGUCGUGAGUUCGAGUCUCACCGAGAGGA